rnacentral:rRNA from 1 species
CAAUAGCGUAUAUUAAAGUUGUUGCAGUUAAAAAGCUCGUAGUUGAAACUCUGGGACACUGAACCUGAUCAAACUUUGUUUCGGUUUAGUGUCUCAUAUUCACAAAGAUGUCUUCGCCCAUUAACUUGUGCCUGGACGGAGUUGUGUCAUUUACUGUGAACAAAUUAGGGUGUUUAAAGCAGGCCUUCGUUUGUAUACAUUAGCAUGGAAUAAUAAGAUAUAACUUUGGUUGUAUUUUGUUGGUGACUACCAAAGUAAUGAUUGACAGAAACUGUUGUGGGUAUUCGUAUGAGCAUGUCAGAGGUGAAAUUCUUGGAUUUUGAUCAGACGAACUACUGCGAAAGCAUUUACCAAGGAUGUUUUCAUUAA